CGUCAAGAGUCUUGGCACCGAUUUGGUGAGCCGGUUUCUUUUGCCUUCUGAAAGGUGAAAGACGUG
rfam:Rhizobium yanglingense strain CCBAT 01603 genomic scaffold C573, whole genome shotgun sequence.